rnacentral:misc_RNA from 1 species
CUGAUUUGUUGCAUCAAUUCACAUAUCUUUAUCUAAAGUAAACAACUAAAUUAUUAACUACUCAGGUAAUCAAAAGAAUUCUAACUAUAUAUGCCUUUCAAGAAGAAAGGUAAACAAAAAUGAAAAAUGAAGAAAACUAAAAAUCAAACCAGAAAGGGUGGAGAAGAUAAACAAGAACCAGAAGAUGAACAAAGUCAGUUCUUUUCUUCUUCUUGUUCUUCAAGGGCUCUUACAGGCAUAAAUCAACAAAGAGAAUUCAAAUCUUUCUUGAUCUUUCUGCACCAAUUUCUCUUCCAACCACAGCCUGCUUUCCAUUCCACUUCUUGUCCUGAACAUGAACACAGCAGAGCCAGAAGCAGGAUUAUAAAACCAAUCAUGCACAUCCCACAUCAGAUCAACAACUAACCCAUCAACAAAAAUUGUCUGGUUGCCUCUAAAAUUCCAUUGCAGCCUCUUUACUCGAAUCACCAUCUUCUUAUCAAUACAUACCGAUAAAACUGGAUACUUUAGGCCUUCAUUUUCUCCACUACAUUUAAUUAAAAUGUCAUGUUGAAUGCCUGUGUCACAGAACUGUGCCUUAGUAGCAUAUAAAGUAUUGCCUGAACAAUGUUCUUGCCUUGAAAUGAGACUUGCUUUGGCUACUGGGGUGCUAGAUUUGAGCUUCUUGGAGAUGGUUUCUUCUCCUAUAUCACCCAGAACAAGGCCUAUUUCUGAAUCAACCAUGACCAGCACAUAGAAUCCAUCAACAGGUGCAGGUCCUGAAUCAUAUUUAGCAGAAGAAAGAUCCCAGAAGACUUCAAUCUUGGAACUAUCGGAAUCGAUCAAUUUGCUGCCUUUCUUCUUCCUGAAGAGCCUUCCACUGGUGUUGAGUUUGAAAGACGUUGAAGAGUCAUUGCCAAAGUUUAUGCUAAGGCCUUGAGAUGCAUGUUUUUUGCACCAAGUGACAGUGACCAAGAGUUGCUUUUGAGAGGAAAGGAUGAUUUUAUAGAAGCAAGAAACUGCAUUUUGAAUUGAUGGGAUUAGACCUGGAGAGAUACAAGCAUUGUUUGAAUAGCUAGAACAUGAAGAAGAAUGAGAUACAUUUAUGGCAUUUUCACUUAAACAAGAAACUAUAUCUCUCAUUGUAGGGGAACAAAAACAAUUCUUGAUGAUGAUAUAUGGAAAACUGCAAUUGGGUUCUUGAAACUGUGGACAAAUAAAGAAAGACAGAAAGAAAAUGAGAGAUCUGAGGAGGAUUUUGGGAGAUGUGUUUUUUUUCCCCUCUUUUGUGCCAAUACUCAAAAAGAAAAUUUGUAAGUUAAAGGCUAGGCCAAGUUAGGUGCUUUAUGAGCUGCCUCUCAAAUUUUCAGAGAGGAAAUUCACAAUUUAUUAUGUAGAGAAUAGAUAACUGUAUUUAAUAAGAACUACUCUCACCUUAAAAUCUGCAUCUCACUCUUAUACAAAAUUAUUAUAUUGAUAGUCUUUAAGAAAGGGGGAAAAAAAAGAAUAAAAGAUUGAGGCAGAAACCUUCAAGGAUUCUUUAUUUAAUCACUUUUGACAGUUCAUCAAAUAGUAUAAAAAAUCCAAAAAAGAAAUAGAGAAAGAAAAGAAAAGUCAUGGAAAAGAUGUUGGACCUGGUCUAAAAACCAGCAAAACUUUGUGACAU